rnacentral:misc_RNA from 1 species
GUGGGAGCAAGGCUUGCCCGCGAUACAUACACUGCGGUUUCUGAGAAGACCGCAUCAGCUUCAUCGCGGGCAAGCCUUGCUCCCAC